rnacentral:rRNA from 1 species
UACGUAGGGUGCGAGCGUUAAUCGGAAUACUGGGCGUAAAGCGUGCGCAGGCGGUUUUGUAAGACAGGCGUGAAAUCCCCGAGCUCAACUUGGGAAUGGCGCUUGUGACUGCAAGGCUAGAGUAUGUCAGAGGGGGGGUAGAAUUCCACGUGUAGCAGUGAAAUGCGUAGAUAUCUGGAGGAACACCGGUGGCGAAGGCGGCAUCCUGGACCAAUAUUGACGCUGACGGAGCGAAAGCUAGGGAGCAACGGG